rnacentral:rRNA from 1 species
GAUAAACGCUGGCGGCGUGCCUAACACAUGCAAGUCGAACGCCCUUUUGCGCAAGUGAGAGGGAGUGGCGGACGGGUGAGUACCACGUGGGUACCUACCUUGAGGUGAGGAAUACCACCGAGAAAUCGGUGACAAGACCGCAUACGCUUGGCAACAAGCAAAGUCUCGCAAGAGACGCCACAAGAUGGGCCUGCGCCUGAUUAGCUAGUUGGUGGGGUAAUGGCUCACCAAGGCGACGAUCAGUAG